CGGGGUGCCUAUACAUGCAGUCGAGCGAAUGGAUUAAGAGCUUGCUCUUAUGAAGUUAGCGGCGGACGGGUGAGUAACACGUGGGUAACCUGCCCAUAAGACUGGGAUAACUCCGGGAAACCGGGGCUAAUACCGGAUAACAUUUUGAACCGCAUGGUUCGAAAUUGAAAGGCGGCUUCGGCUGUCACUUAUGGAUGGACCCGCGUCGCAUUAGCUAGUUGGUGAGGUAACGGCUCACCAAGGCAACGAUGCGUAGCCGACCUGAGAGGGUGAUCGGCCACACUGGGACUGAGACACGGCCCAGACUCCUACGGGAGGCAGCAGUAGGGAAUCUUCCGCAAUGGACGAAAGUCUGACGGAGCAACGCCGCGUGAGUGAUGAAGGCUUUCGGGUCGUAAAACUCUGUUGUUAGGGAAGAACAAGUGCUAGUUGAAUAAGCUGGCACCUUGACGGUACCUAACCAGAAAGCCACGGCUAACUACGUGCCAGCAGCCGCGGUAAUACGUAGGUGGCAAGCGUUAUCCGGAAUUAUUGGGCGUAAAGCGCGCGCAGGUGGUUUCUUAAGUCUGAUGUGAAAGCCCACGGCUCAACCGUGGAGGGUCAUUGGAAACUGGGAGACUUGAGUGCAGAAGAGGAAAGUGGAAUUCCAUGUGUAGCGGUGAAAUGCGUAGAGAUAUGGAGGAACACCAGUGGCGAAGGCGACUUUCUGGUCUGUAACUGACACUGAGGCGCGAAAGCGUGGGGAGCAAACAGGAUUAG
rnacentral:rRNA from 1 species